AGUCACGGUGGACAGGAUGUUUCUUCCACACCUGGUGUAGGACGACCACGAAGGUAACCCCAUCUCCAAAGGAGACCACCAUGUUCUUCCUGUUGAUCAUCAUGGACAGCCUACGAGAGGAAGCCAGAAAGUGGCUGUGGGGCCCAGUGGCCGUGACACUGGGCAUCUGACUCAAGGGCGUUUUGGUGGGGCCUCCCCUGUACAUGGCACCCGAGGGCCCACAGACUCCAGAAACUAUCUCAGGGGCGUUGGAAAGAGGAUGCCUCAUGCACACUGUCUCCCCUCCCGUGAGUGGAUCCUUGAGUGUCUAUAAGUGGGAAAGAGAGGGCUGGCCUAUGAAUCUGGAGGCCUGUGGUCCAGCCUCAGCUAAGCCACUGACUUCCUGAGUGACAUUGGGCAGGCUCCACACCUUCUCUGAGCCUCAGUGGGAGGCUCUGGGGGAUCUGAAGACAGGAGAGCUAAGAAGACAAGAGCAGCCACAGAAGAGGCAAAUGGGGGCCAUUAUCACCUAAUGCCUUCACCCAACCAGCUGAACUGUGCAGCUACCAAUUCUGGCUCUGAUAGGGCCCCAGGGUUUGGUUGGGGGCCACUAUGGUCACCCUCCCCUGUGACAGGAGACUGGAUUCUGGGGUCUCUGAUCUUUCCUGUGACCCCCAUGGAUCUCCUGUCCUGGGAUUUUUCUAAAUCCCUCAAGAGCCUCCUUAGACUCUCACCCUGUAGUCCACCUUGGAGACCUUGUAGGGGAGCUUACCCAUCCUGCGUGACUGUGACUGUGUCCAGCCAGCUGAAAGUGCUCGGCACGGCCCUGUUCCACAGGGUGAUCUUCUCCGUUGUCACCUCCACCUGGAAGUCCAUCUGAGCAUUGGCGAUGCCCAGUUUUCCAAAGUAAGUCUUUCUGGUCUUGGAGUCAGGGCUGCCUCUCUUGUCGCCAGUGAUCUGCCCAUUAACUGUGAGGCCUGCCAGAGGGAUGGGGCAGGGAGAGAGACCAGCGAGAACUUCUGAGUCCAGAUUGCCUUUAGGGGUGUGCCUUCCUCUUCAACCAGACUGGCUGAGGGGCAGCAGAGCGGGGGCCACAAGAGAGACCAGGACUUCAGAGCCCAAGCCUGUUGGUUCCUAGACACUCUAGGUUUGGGUCAUGCUGGGACCUUAUGGGUCUGCCACUUGCCUGGGCCAGGGAGUGUUGUUCAGAGAAAAGCUAUUCCCCAGACACAGGCUGGGUCCUACCCUAGGCCCAGGUGGUCCAUUCACGCUAAUCAUCUCCCAAUAGCACUGGCAUGUGGGGCUGAGCAAGCCUGUGGCCCUGG
rnacentral:lncRNA from 10 species